rnacentral:rRNA from 1 species
AGCUCACUGGUCGAGUGACCCCGCGCCGAAAAUGUACCGGGGCUAAACAUAUUACCGAAACUGUGGAUGAACCUCUUCGGAGGUUCGUGGUAGGAGAGCGUUCUAAGGGCGGUGAAGUCAGACCGGAAGGACUGGUGGAGCGCUUAGAAGUGAGAAUGCCGGUAUGAGUAGCGAAAGAAGGGUGAGAAUCCCUUCCACCGAAUAUCUAAGGUUUCCUGAGGAAGGCUCGUCCGCUCAGGGUUAGUCGGGACCUAAGCUGAGGCCGAUAGGCGUAGGCGAUGGACAACAGGUAGAUAUUCCUGUACCAGUGCUAGUUGUUUGAGCAAUGGGGUGACACAGAAGGAUAGGGAAUCGCACAGAUGGAAACGUGCGUCCAAGCAGUGAGUGUGAGAAGUAGGCAAAUCCGCUUCUCGCGAAGCAUGAGCUGUGAUGGGGAAGGAAAUUAAGUACGGAAGUUCCUGAUUUCACGCUGUCAAGAAAAGCCUCUAGUUAGAUUAGUACUGCCCGUACCGCAAACCGACA